GGCUCUGGAGCCACCAGCAGAACCUCUUCAAUAUCUUGCAUGUUACAGAUUUCACUACUCCCACCAGCUUGGAGACAACAUGUGGUUCUUGACAACUCUGCUCCUUUGGGUUCCAGUUGAUGGGCAAGUGGACACCACAAAGGCAGUGAUCACUUUGCAGCCUCCAUGGGUCAGCGUGUUCCAAGAGGAAACCAUAACCUUGCACUGUGAGGUGCUCCAUCUGCCUGGGAGCAGCUCCACACAGUGGUUUCUCAAUGGCACAGCCACUCAGACCUCGACCCCCAGCUACAGAAUCACCUCUGCCAGUGUCAAUGACAGUGGUGAAUACAGGUGCCAGAGAGGUCUCUCAGGGCGAAGUGACCCCAUACAGCUGGAAAUCCACAGAGGCUGGCUACUACUGCAGGUCUCCAGCAGAGUCUUCAUGGAAGGAGAACCUCUGGCCUUGAGGUGUCAUGCGUGGAAGGAUAAGCUGGUGUACAAUGUGCUUUACUAUCGAAAUGGCAAAGCCUUUAAGUUUUUCCACUGGAAUUCUAACCUCACCAUUCUGAAAACCAACAUAAGUCACAAUGGCACCUACCAUUGCUCAGGCAUGGGAAAGCAUCGCUACACAUCAGCAGGAAUAUCACAAUACACUGUGAAAGAGCUAUUUCCAGCUCCAGUGCUGAAUGCAUCUGUGACAUCCCCACUCCUGGAGGGGAAUCUGGUCACCCUGAGCUGUGAAACAAAGUUGCUCUUGCAGAGGCCUGGUUUGUAGCUUUACUUCUCCUUCUACAUGGGCAGCAAGACCCUGCGAGGCAGGAACACAUCCUCUGAAUACCAAAUACUAACUGCUAGAAGAGAAGACUCUGGGUUAUACUGGUGCGAGGCUGCCACAGAGGAUGGAAAUGUCCUUAAGCACAGCCCUGAGUUGGAGCUUCAAGUGCUUGGCCUCCAGUUACCAACUCCUGUCUGGUUUCAUGUCCUUUUCUAUCUGGCAGUGGGAAUAAUGUUUUUAGUGAACACUGUUCUCUGGGUGACAAUACGUAAAGAACUGAAAAGAAAGAAAAAGUGGAAUUUAGAAAUCUCUUUGGAUUCUGGUCAUGAGAAGAAGGUAAUUUCCAGCCUUCAAGAAGACAGACAUUUAGAAGAAGAGCUGAAAUGUCAGGAACAAAAAGAAGAACAGCUGCAGGAAGGGGUGCACCGGAAGGAGCCCCAGGGGGCCACGUAGCAGCGGCUCAGUUGGUGGCCAUCGAUCUGGACCGUCCCCUGCCCACUUGCUCCCCGUGAGCACUGCGUACAAACAUCCAAAAGUUCAACAACACCAGAACUGUGUGUCUCAUGGUAUAUAACUCUUAAAGCAAAUAAAUGAACUGACUUCAACUGGGAUACAUUUG
ensembl:lncRNA FCGR1BP Fc gamma receptor Ib, pseudogene